GACGAACGCUGGCGGCGUGCCUAAUACAUGCAAGUAGAACGCUGAAGGAGGAGCUUGCUUCUCUGGAUGAGUUGCGAACGGGUGAGUAACGCGUAGGUAACCUGCCUGGUAGCGGGGGAUAACUAUUGGAAACGAUAGCUAAUACCGCAUAAGAGUAGAUGUUGCAUGACAUUUGCUUAAAAGGUGCAAUUGCAUCACUACCAGAUGGACCUGCGUUGUGUUAGCUAGUUGGUGGGGUAACGGCUCACCAAGGCGACGAUACAUAGCCGACCUGAGAGGGUGAUCGGCCACACUGGGACUGAGACACGGCCCAGACUCCUACGGGAGGCAGCAGUAGGGAAUCUUCGGCAAUGGACGGAAGUCUGACCGAGCAACGCCGCGUGAGUGAAGAAGGUUUUCGGAUCGUAAAGCUCUGUUGUAAGAGAAGAACGAGUGUGAGAGUGGAAAGUUCACACUGUGACGGUAUCUUACCAGAAAGGGACGGCUAACUACGUG
rnacentral:rRNA from 1 species